rnacentral:ribozyme from 1 species
UGUCUAUCACCAAUGGCCAUAGCAGAGGCGUUCAUGUCACGGCCCCUGUCAGAUUUCAACAAAUCUGCUAAAUUCUGCU